rnacentral:lncRNA from 1 species
GUGUGUGUGUGUGUGUGUGUGUGUGUGAGAGAGAGAGAGAGAGAGAGAGAGAGAGAGAGGCAUAAGAGAGAUAGGACUGAAGAUAGAAAGAGAGGGUGAAAGAUAAAAUGGAAGAGAGAAAAGGUGAGGAGGGGAGAGAGAGGGAAGUACAAGAGGGAGACGAGAAUGAGAUAAACAAAGGGAGAGGACGACUAGGGUUUUAGGAGAAAGUCUUCCUUUUUUGUUUCUCCUCUAAAUGGGCUACAAGAUUGACCAUGUAUAAUUUGAUAUUUGAGUAAAAUAAAUGUGUUCACUUGUGGAUAUAUUGUUGGUGAGACAUACCAACAAAAGGUAACAUUGUGUCAGUAAUCCUUGAGAAUUAGUUUCUGUAGUAACAUCAAUGUACAUCAGAGGAUGAGUUACUAGUGGAGACUCAACUUCAGUAAGAAAUAUGGAUCCUAUUGGAUAAUAGAUAUGCUCAAUAGUGGUCUCCUCAAAAGAAGCCAAUGGGACAAUGAUUAGAGUUGCAUCAAUAGAAACAAAGAGAAAUGGUGAUGGUAAGGUAUCUUCAAUGAGCUCUACAUGCCAACUUGAGAAAGGCUCAGCAAUACUUUGUGCAGUCUAAGGUGUUGUUGAGGGAUGUUGAAAAAAAUAUUUUGACUAAUCUUAAAAUGGAAAUAUAAAUUCAUAAAAAAUAGUAUCUCAAGUGAUAUGAAGGUGUUUAAUCAAUAGGCAAUCACAAUGGUAGUCAAUGUUCAUAUAUUUGUAACCAAAGAACACUGAUCAAAUUGUUGAGCAAGUUUGUGCAUGGCAAUAAGUUGAAAGUAAGGACAAAUUAUACAACUAAAAGUUUGAAGAAAGAAAUAGUUUACAUAUUUUUUAAAUAAAUAUUCCAAUAGAUAUAUGGAAGUAAAAACAUUAGUGAGAUGAUUGAUUAACUAAAAAUCAUUUUAAAUGACCUUGUCUCAAAAUUGACACAACCUCAAAUUAGUGGAUAGAAGACCUAAAGUAAUCAUAAAAUGUGGUGAUUUUUUCAUCCUACUACUAUGUUUAAUUAUGGCAUGUAUGAACAAGAAAUGUAGUGUUGAAGAUUACAAUCUGGAAGAGGAUGGUAGAUUGGUUAGUAUUUAUCACAUCAUCUAGAUGGGUGAGUCAAAAUAUAAUUAAAGAAUAAUUGAACACAUCAUUGAAAAUGAAGAAAAGUUUAUAAAACAUCAAAUUUAUGCCAAUGAGGAAAAAUCCGUGUACUUGCUGAACUCAUUGACAAAAUAAUAUAGUAUGAAAAUUCAUAAUGAGAGAUAAUUGAUCACUCUUAAGUUUUUGUUAUUAAGAUUGUCAAUUUUAAAUUUCUGAACUGAUUUUCAUGGGAUUAGUUUCUUGAUGAAUUAAUAGAAAAUCAAGUCAAACACAAGGAAGGUUUUGAAUUAGUUGAUAUAUAUUAUAAUGGUCGUAUUCUUAUUUGUUUAUUAUCUGAGAUUCAACUGCCACAAAUAGAAAACUUUAAUGCACAUUCAGAGGAGGAUUUAUCUCAAGGUUCAACUAGCCACCUUGUAAAUAGAUUAUAGUUAGUUAGCGGAGAUGAUUCCCCACUUCCUUCAACAAUUUUAAGUUUUUAAAACCAAUGAAGAAAAGGGAAAUAGAUUUUCAUAAAUUUAGAUUGAAUUAACUAGGAUUAAAGGUGUUCAAUUACAUGAAAAUCAAAGGAAACCAAUGAAAAUAACUUCUACGUCUUAUUCUGACGGACUUGGGGAGAGAACAACGGCCUCAUGUAGGGGCAUCUUCAAUUGAUCCUUUUCUUGUUGCACCAAGGGAGGAGACCAAUGGCCUCAUGUAGGAGGAGAGGGACAAGUUGGCCCACCUAUGGUGUGCUGCAGGUGGCACCAAGGGAGAGAGUAGGCUGUCCCCAUGGUAGGAGAGGGACACACCAAUUGGGGAAGGAGAGAGAGGAGCUGAUCAUCAAUGAGGAGAGGGCUUGUGGUGGCUCCUCUCUUUCUAGAUUGUGUGCCCUACAUUAGGCCUUCUAAGUUUUACUCCUACAUCUUGCAAGAUCUACAAGUCUUUUUUAUAGUUUUAACUUUUUAUGUUCACAUAUUGCAUAAAUUCUCAUGAUAAAAUUACGUGUCCUUGGCUGUUCUUCAUGGUUGUAAAUUAAUUUCUCCCUUGUCAUUUAUCUUGAUGCUCACAUCCUUGUAGAAAAUAAGUGAUAACUCUUAAUAUUUACAUGAUAAUGUCCUAAUCAUUCAUGUGAUUUAUGCUUUAGUUUUAAUUAAAUUCUUGCAAAAUACUUCAAAUUUGAAAAUUUAGAUUUAAAAUGAUUUAUAUGAUUUUAAUGUUAAUUUAUACGAAUUGCAUGAAGAAAUUAAUCAUGUAAUAUGAUGAAAUAUUUUCUCAAUUUUUUUUAUUUUUUAUAUUAUGUUUGAGAAUAUUUCUACAUUUAUUCUGAUUUUAUAGAAGUAUAUAAGAAAAUUUAGAAAAAUGAUUAAAUUCAAAAAAUCAGUGAAAAUCUUGAAAAAUCAACAAAAAUCACUUCGAAUGAUCAAUUGAUUUUCUACAGAGAAAUUACCCAAGUAAAUUUAAAAAUAUCAAUUUGAAAUCAUGUUAUAAUUCAAUCAUUUCUUAUUUAUAGUUUAUAAUCGAUUAAAGCUAAUGAAGAAUCAAAUCUUUUUAGGGUUUUCGUGCUAAUUGUGGACGCAUUGAUUGCAACAAGAAAUACAAAAAAUAAAUGUAACAAAUCGGCAAAAUAUGUACAUAGGAAGAUUGAAAUGGUGUUUCCAAAAAAGAAGAAGGCAUCCUCAAUUAUUCUUUAGCCCUCUCAAGUCAAAACCCCUCUCAUCCCACUACUAGAGACAUUGGAUUUUGCCAAAUCUGACCAUCUAAUAGAAAAGAUGGAUUUUAUCCAAUUUUCUCCCUCAUUCAGCAGCUACAUAGUCUAAAUUUCUUUCAAAAAUCUUCUCCAUUCUUCACCUGAUAUAAAUGGUGAAGAAUUUUUUUAAGGAUCCUUCUCUAGACACCACGACAUGCUCAUAGUCAAAUCACCUUCGCCGCUUGUUUUCAGCAAGUGACAUUUAUUGGGAUUAUUAACCAUCGAUGGGAGAAGGUAUAAGAAACUAAUUGGUGCACUGUAUUUACACAAAUCAACCGUAUUUGGGUGAAAAUAUGAUCGAUGACUACACCGCCUAGUUCUUCUUUAAACUUUAAUUUUUGUUUAUUCUUAUCAGUUUUAGAUUCCAAUAAUACAUAUUUUGAUCUUGUAUCAUGUUAUGAACAAAAGCCCUUUGCUUUUAAUUCCUAUUUCAAUAAUUUUGGCUUUGUUUCGAUUCGCUUACGAGUUGAUAUAUUUUGGGCAACUACAAAUUUGGGGUUGUUCUUUGUGAGUUGACGUUAGUUGACAUCAAUAAUACCCAAAUUUGAAUUUUUAGCUUAUUUCACUUAAAUUUUUCUACAAAAUAAUUCCAAAAAAUACUCUAUCAAUUGAAAGUCAUAAAUAACUAAUAAUAUUUCAUCUUCCCUAUGGUUGACCCAGAAAAUCCAUUAGAAAAAUUAAUCUUUAUUAAAAACUAUCUUAUUUUCUAGAAUUUUUAAAUUUUAAAUUUACUAAAUUUUUUUAGCAACGACAUAAAGUAGUUAGACAAUAAGAAAAUGAUAUAAUUCAUAAACUAGAGUGUGAAAAUAUAUAAUUAAAAUUUUUAGUAUGUAAUUAUCAUAUUAUUAUAUCCAUUACGCUUUAAUCCUUGACCUAUUGCCCCUUCUGACAUGAUACUUCAAGGAAUUAUCAAUAAUGGAAAUGGAUCCUAUAUGUCAAGGAUAAUUAAUUAAGAAGGUGGUUAUGAUAUAGAAGAUGAUUCAAGAUAAUGAUAAUUGAAGGGGAUGGUGGAUGACAAGUAAACAAAGCUUAUUGAUACUCAUUCUAAAGGAGAUGCACUUUCAUUGUCGAAUGUGAGAUGUGAUGAUUUAGACACAAGAAAAUAGAAGAGAUCGUCUUGCCCACAUUGAACAAUUUACCACCAAAUUCGAUCCCUUCCAAGGAAAUAAGAUAGGAUAAAUUUUAAAAAAUAUUUAUUAGAAGUAAGUUUAUUAAUGGAGAAUAAAUUAUCAUUGAUCAAAGGAACAUAUAGAACAUUAUUUAAUCAGACAUCAUAUGAAGAAUAAUUAAGGAUUCCAUGUCUAAAUGAGAAAACUGCCAUACUUUCACCAUUUCUCACAUGUAGUUUGUCAAUACUUAUAUAAUAUUUAGGAUCACAAAGUGUUGUACAGUAAGAAGUGUAGUGAGCAAUGACACUAUCUAGAUAUCAUGAUAUUGACGAUUUUAUCACAUUUGGUAUGGGUACAAUACUGUAAGUGAUUGCAUCAGCAACUAAAUGAGUUGUAGCCGUUGGGUUGAUGUAUGCAUUAGAUGAUUUUUAAUAAGUUAUUUUAUGUGUGUAAUUCCCCUACCAUAAUAAGAUCCUAGUUGACUAAUCAUAGUAAAUUCACUAGAAACGAUUUUGAUGAAUUAAGUGUACUAAUAAACAGAUGACAUCCUAUGGUGUAAGGCAUGAGUUUGAUGUAUGAUUAUAAAAUUUGAGGUUUGGAGUUUAGUGCAAAAUCUCUAGAACUAAAGUAUCUGAAACAUGAUGCAUAACAACUAACUACUAUUGGGAGGUGAGACUCUAUUAGAGAUGAUAUGAGCCAUGAUAGAACUAUUUAAUUAGUCCUUUCCUAAUUGAUGAAGUUCAGAUUUGGCCACUAUAGCUCCUCCUCAUUGAUGAUAAUUUUUAGGGACAACUGAGUGCAGCUGCCAAACCAACGACCUAUAACCAUAGCUCUUCACGUAUCCUCAAAAACUUGUAAGAGUGAGAUAGAUAUAUAGAUGGCAAAGAUAGAGAGCAUGCAAUAGAGAGAGAGAGAGAGACCAAAGGUUUUCUAUCGAACAAAUUUGAUAUGAGGGACAUGGGUGAAACCAAUUACACUAUUGACAUAGAGAUUCAUCAUAACAAGUCUUUAGGCUUGAUUUAGCUAUCUCAAAAGUCUUACAGAUCAAAUGUGUUGAAAUGGUUCUCAAUGAAAAAUUACUCUCCUAGUAAGACAUUAUUAAAAAGGAAAAAUUAAGGAAAUUACAGCAACCUCUUUGAAAUGAGAAGAGGCUUGUAAAGAAAAAUCCCACUUCUUCAGAAACUUCCUGGCACAUACAUUAAGGGAGCCAUCGAAAGGUGACUGAAACACCAGAAACAAGGACUACUCGAGCUAAUGAUAGAGGCAAGAACAAUUUCUGGCCAGGUAUAGUAAUUCAGUUUCUUUACUAUAUGCAAAUAUAUACCCAUCUAAACUUAUCAUUUGUCACUUAAUAUUUAGGAAGAUAUCAAAUUGACCUUAGCCUAAUACAUUAGCAAGCUGUAAAGAAAUUUUUACGAUAAUUUUAAGGAAUGAAGGACAUGAUGUUCACAUAUAGGUUAAUAGAUAACCUAAAGAUUAUUGAAUACUCUAACUCAAACUUUCUAAACUAUUUAGACACAUAGAGAUCUGCUUUGGGUUAUGUGUUCUUACUUAAUAGAGGAGUCGUCACAAAGUCUAUUACCAAGUAAGAGAUACUUGUAACAUUCACUAUAGAAGUUUGAGUAUAUAACUUACUUUCAUGCAUCUUCACAAACUAUAUUACUAAAGUAUUUCAAUUCAUAGUUCAUAGUUAUGGACUCUAUAUAGAAAUUCAUUGGGUUAUAUUAUGAUAAUCAAGUUAUAAUUAAAGUCUCUAAUAACAAGAAGAGUUCAAGUGAUUGUAAGCACCUAAAGACUCAUUUCUUAGCUAUUAAGAAGAGAAUCAAAGAUCAAUUAGUAUCAAUGAUCAUAUUGUGACUAACUUUAUACUAGAUGAUCCUCUUACGUAGUCACUUUCACCAGAUACCUAUAGUGAAUAUAUUUGUAAGAUUAGAUUAAUCAAUUUCGUAAAAGAUAUGACUUGUAUUUAGACACUAUUAUAGUAUGUGAUAUCAUGCCUAUGAUCUCUAUAUGUUAGUUCAUGGUGAAUUAUUAUUUAUCACUAGAUAAAUGAUGAAUAAAGUUGUGUUCAUUUUUUCAUGACAUUAUGAGUUUAUUCAUAAAAGUUAUUUAACUACAACAUAAAGUAUUUACUUUUAAUAUUAAUCAUGAUUAUCUUAAUAAAUAUAAGGGACAUGCAUUCUUAAUAGUGUAUUAUUAACAUGACUAGUAGUUUUGAGAGAUAUUAUGAUCAAAAUAAGAUACUAUUUAUAAGUAUUAAAAUUGUGGUUGCUUCACAUGAUUAUCUAAUAUCAAAGAGAUUUCAUGAAGUCAACUAAGAGAUUGUUAAAGUUCAACCCUAUAAAAGUGACUUUUCUAAUCUUAUUAGGAAUUAAUAGAAUUAUAAGUAGUUAGUGAUAUCUAGGACAUAAUUAUAAUACAACAUAACAUAGGAGAGAGGGUUAUCCUAAUGGGUUUUAACACAACAUAACAUAGGAGAAACUCUAUAGAUAGAAGAGAGGUUCUACUUGUGAGGAUAAAAUAGAAGAACAAACAAGAAGAUCUUCAAGCAAUCAUGAUUGUUUUGCACAAAUGACGAAUCAAGGUACAUAUAUAUCUCCAUUAGGGGAGACUUGGAAGUAGGAAGAUGAUCCUCUCAAAGUAAUCAGCCAGCCACUUGAAUUCUCUGUAGAGAAUUUACUUGUCAUUCCUAUCGAGAGUCCUUAGCCAUCAUCCUUUUCCCCGUCAAAGUAUUACAGAUUGCGAGUUCACUCCAAAUUUGAGUUCAAAGGUUUUCUUUUCCUGAAGUCCCCCUUUUGUGUUGACGAGAUCCCCAUCUCAUUGACUGCCUCAUCAUCUGGCAUGGGGUCCCAUUAGAAACCAAGAGAUAUUGGAAAUGGAAGUUCAUGUGAGGCUGCUGCACAUCCACUUUCCUCCACCCCUUCCAGAUUGCUGGCGAUGAUGCUUUAGGGCAAGUAGCAAAGCCUCCCCAAGAAAGACAAAGCCUUACACCCUAGUUCUUCACAGUGAAAACCAAAUAUUCUCCUUCCUCUUAACAUUUAGAUAUCGCUACAAGAUGUGACUAAUUAUCUUCUAAGGUUAAUGGGCAUGUCCAAAAGCCCAAGCCCUUUUUAUUGGCGAGAUGAGGUGACCAUCUCACGGUAUUUGAGUCUUGAGAACUGAAAGUAGGCUGGCCCAACAUCGAAGUGGAAUGUCACCAUCAAAGAACUUGUCGCAGACCCAUAUUUGACAAAAAGUCCUGUAGUCACGUGGGGCAUGUUCUCCGAAAUAGCCCACAGCCAAGGCCCACCAUCCUUCUCGCCACUAGGGAGCCCAACAAGAGAAGUCCACCUUCUAGGUCCACAAGCCCACCAUUUGCAUAAGUGAACCACACGUUGGGAACUUUCUCUACAAGCUCUGCAUAUCCCUCUCAUGGUAGGGGAGAUUGCAGUAUCCACACUGCUUGCACCACAGUUGUGGGCCAUUUGACCGACACUUCUCUUCCCCCACUUCUUCUAGUCAUGGCACGUGAGGGAAUAUGGGCCCUAGUGGCCUUUUUGUAAUUAUUGACUCUCUCCUCCUCUCUACGUAUGUAACCCUCAACUAUUUUUUGAUUAACUAAUGGAUUACUUCUUCUUUGUUUCAUAUGGUAUUAGAGCAGACCUGGGGUUUGCUCACAGUGGCGCCCUCCUCUAUAUAGUAGUCCCUUCUGCACGACGACAUCCUCCUCUACAUGGUGGCCCCCCUCCUCUACACAACGGCACCCUCUUCUACACAGUGGUGCCCUCCUUUGUACAGCAGCCCUCUCCUCUACAGAGUGGCACCCUCCUCUACACAAAGGUGUUUCUUAUGCAUGGUGGGGCCCUCCUCUACACUGGUGCCAUUUCUUCACUGCUGUGCAAGUGAUGCCCUUGGUUCUAUACUUUGAUGAACGAGGAUUCUCCAUCAAGUUUUCUGCCUACUCCUCUUUUGCCCACUCCUCUUAGUCCAGUCUUUUAGUUGGCUGCCCCUUCUAUGUAUCCUUUGGCUAAUACAUCCGUCCACCACCUUUAAAGCCCAUGAAUGAUCUUCAAUGCUUGAAAUCACAUCACAUGGUCUACUAGCUUCCAUCAAUUUCUUCAUGUCCAUCUCUCAUUUCUUAUGGAUGGUCCUACAUUGCUUGAGGAUAAUAGACUCAAGGAGUGGCACAUUUAGCACCAAGCCAUCAUUGCUUGAAUGCUCAAGAUGACAAAUUCAUAUCAUCAGUGAGUCUAUGUAGCUCAUUUCUCCAUCUACGACUCUUUGAGAUAAAUGGGCUUAGAUGUAUGGAUACGAGUCUAAUAUCUCUCGCACUAUUACUAUUUAUGAGCAGUUAUUCAAGAUGAAGUAGACCAAAUGUUGUCUUCAAGAAUUUUAUGCCUCACUUCCUAGUCUCCUCCAUUAGUUGGAGAUUUAUCAACUAUAUAUGACCAACAUUACGACAUAGUGUCAUUAUCACGAGGAACUUAUUGUCACCCUUUUCCUUGUAGGCCUCGACUCUUCUAUCGACUUUUAAAUAUAUGGCCUUAUCUUGAGUGAAACACAUCUAUUAACACUUCACAAGACCUUCUCUAGUACUCAAUGGGUUUUCAUUGGGGUCAUGCCAGUACUAUCUCUUCCUACAGCCUCUAUUUCUACAGCACUAUUGUCCUCUGGUUGUCAUGGCAAGGGGCAGGGUGCAGAUGGUGGGUGUGGUCAUGGCUAUGAUGACCAAGGGCCAGGUCAAGGCCACAAUGGCCAGCCCUACCCCUUGUGAGCACUAUCAGUAGUAUGGUCAUCUAUUUGAUUGUUGUUGAGAGAAAUUUGGCAACCCCAGUAAGGUUGUUAAUUUUGCCUUGAUUGAUGUGGCUUCCUUCUCUUCAUCCUCUCAACCAUGACUAUUUCUUGGGAGGAGUUUGAUCGUUUGAUGAGGCUACAGAAUACAUAUGAGGCCACUCAUUUCUCUCAACAUGCAUACACUUUUGGUUCAAGUAUAUUCUUACUUUCUUCUCCAUCCACAUCUUAUAUCAUUGACUCAAGGGCAUCCUACCAUAUGUGAGGUACCCAAUCUCUUCUCUCUAAAUUACUUCAUUUAUCUGACCCCUCUACUAUUUCCAUUGUGGAAGGUCUUAUCUAUUAUGUGAGAGGAAAAGGUGUCGCCAAUCCAACAUUUUCUUUUUCUUUGUCUAAUGUUCUUUAUUGAUGCAGGACCACGAGUGAUCCACCCUCUAGGGAGGAGGGAGAAUGCGGCACUAUUGGGGGAGGGAUGGAGUUUCUAUAUCUGAUUAAUGGGGGGGGCAGGCAAGCAGGUGCUGAAGGCAACGAUGCCUGUGGACACUCGUCAGUGUCAACAAGGGCACAGGUGUAGGGAAACCUUCCCGUCCACAUUUGUCGAGAGAAAUCCAAUGCUGUCAGCACGGUCUCUGCUGCCUGAGCUCGCCGGCUAACGCAGCAGGUCUUGCAUGCGCACACGUCAAGGUUUGCACCCAAGGUGAGGCCCAACCCGUCCCACCUAGCUAGGCCUAUCAGUGGUGGGGCAGGAGCGGGAAGGCACUGCACGGAGUAAAGACUGACUGAUAGGGGGAAGAGGGCUAACCUGCGGGCCUCAGCCCGGCUGGUUGUGGCAGGGCGGGAGGCUCCUCGUAUCAACACAAGGUCAAUGACAGUAAGAGCGGCGUGAGCCCAGCGGACAAGGAGCGUCACAGCAGCAUGACCAGUGAUUCUUUGUAAGUGGAAGGCAGUCUCAUGCGAAGCAUUCAGCCUGUGCGUAGGUACGCGGGUCAGUAUUCAGGGAGGGGGCUGACAGCAGCACUUGAUGAACUGCUGAUGGGCUGAGGGUGGUGACACAGUUGGACGAUCCAAAGCACCUUGCCGAGUUCCUGAUCGAAACCUGCAGUGGACUCGCUGGCGGUCACGGCAACAUGCAGACUAGCUCACGGGGCUUGCAAGCACGAUGACCGCUGCCUGUCGGUGUGUGGAGUGCGGUGUCCGGUGCAGGGUGAGCAUUUGACAGGAGCACCAAUGGGCAACUGCACCGGACCUGCGUGUGGCAGUGAGGCGGCGAGUGACCAAGAGUGAGGUGAUGGCCUUGUUGGUCGGAUGGUGCCCCCCACCCCUCAGGUUCACUCUCUCCCUUUCUCUCUAGAUGAAACUCACAAACACUCUUUCUAUUCAAAAUAAAAGGCUCUCUCUUUAGUAGGUGGCUCUCCACCCCCUUAUGUAGGGGCCCACAUGGGCCAAGGGUGAAGAACCACAUGAGAGGCCCAAAAUGCCAAGCCCCCUAAGUGAUACAGUCUCGGGGGAGCCUUCUUCUCUAUUGGGCCUAAACGAGGGUGGCCCAAAAGAGAAGGGGUGAGGGGAAUAAGGACACUAGCUCCUCCAAUUGGGCCCACACAUAUGGCCCAAAGGAGGAGGUAAUAGGAUGGGCGAGAGCCAAAAUGGAGUGGGCCAUCCCAUCUUGCCAUGAACCCAUCAUGGGCCCAAGGGGUGGGAAGCCCGUCAUGCGGUGUAGCAGAACCCAAGGUUCCUUGUCUUCACUCAGGCUCUGCGAUCCGGUUGACAGUAUGGGGGCGGGGUCUCCUUCGUCACCUUGGCCUCAUGCUAAGAUGGCAAGGGGUCAUGUCUGCCACCAUUUAUAUUUCUAAAUUUUUUGUUAACCUUCUGGCCAUCAAUGCCAUUACCCAAGCCUUAUUUUGCUCCAUCACCUUCUUUUCUUGUCACUACACCUUUUUAGAUUUACAUACGAGAAAGAGAAUUAGUUUGGGGCAUGAGACUAGAUGCAACCUUUACGAGCUUGUACCUAAUCACCCUCCACUUGGCCUUUCUUGCCUUAUCUCCUAGCAUGAUAUCUUGCUUCAUUAGCAUCGACAGUUAGGGCAUCAUAGUAUGAUCAAACUUCGUCAGACUCUUCCGUGGAUUUAUGUUUCUUUUUUUUAGUGUGAGUCAUAUCAACUUAAAAAAUAUUUUUGCUCCUCCUACCCUCGUCUUAACUCUAUUUUGAGUAAAAAGAAUACUUACUUUUGUGCAUUAUGAUGUGUGGGGCCAUCCCAAGUUGCAUUAGUCUUGGGUUUUCAUUAUUAUAUCAUUUUUAUAGAUGAUUUCUUCUACGUGUCUUGGGUGUAUCUUCUCACAGACCAUACUAACAUUCUUCCAUACUCAAAUUGGAGUAGAAUCAAGUGAGGUUUUAUAAAAUAGGAGAGCCCACAAUUAUGAAAGAUGGAUUGUAUUAAUUACCGUAAUAGGGAAUUUUAAUUCAAAAGGUCAAAAAACAAUGUCACAACCGUAUGUAUGGAUCACUAAAUCAAUGAGAGAGGGAUACUCUGUGAUCAUUCACACUAACAGCAGGUGGAUUAGUUUAGAACUAACCAAAUAUAAUGAAAUAAAGAAGCCAAUGUACCUUGAUGGAGAUUCCCUUUCAUGAAGAUUUCUUAUAGUCCUCAAAGGCAUAUUUCUUUGAUUAAACUCUUGCCUCUUGGGGAAAAAGAUGAAAGACUAGAAAUGGAAGAGGUUUGGAUGAGGAGACACCAUGAUAAAAGCAAAGUCAAGGGAGAUAGGGAGGACGAUAGAGAGAGGGGUAUACGAACAGGUAAAUAGAGGGCAAGGAAAGAGAAUGAGAGAAAGAGAGAAUGUGAAGGAGUGAUCGUGAGAGAGAGAUGGCGAGCACAAGAGGGAGAGAACAGGCGAGAGGAAGAGAGACAGAUGGAGAGAGUGACAUGUACAAAAGAAUGAGAAGAGAGAGAGAGAGAGGCGAUGUGCGGGAGAGAGAGAUAGGGUGACAUGUGGGAGAGAGNNNNNNNNNNNNNNNNNNNNNNNNNNNNNNNNNNNNNNNNNNNNNNNNNNNNNNNNNNNNNNNNNNNNNNNNNNNNNNNNNNNNNNNNNNNNNNNNNNNNUUUCAUGUUACCAACUCUAGCUAUCACAUAUAUAAAAUAAAUUCUCCCGGCGUGGACAUCUACAUUGGAUCGCACUGCCAGACUUGCCACCAUUCGUUUGUUAGAUUUUUGCGAAACGUUAUCUAAGAAAGAAAUGUGACAAGACCAUGUUUCUCUUGGAAGGCACCACAAAUUGAUGGAGUGUACUUGCUGCCUUCAGCCACCUUCUUCUAUGUUAUUUGGUUUUCGUUACCAUAGCUGAAACAACUUUUCCAAAAUUCAUUUUAAUUAUAUUUGAUCUUGACUUUAUGCCCUAUAGAUGGAAAGAAAAAUAAGAAAUAAAUAAGUAAUAAAAUAUGCAAAGCUAUGGGAGAAAGUAAUAUCACCUCGAUAUAUGAUGCAUAUUAACUUACAGAAAAAACUCUUCUUGGAAAAUUAAAAGAAAUAACCAAGAGAAUAUAAAAUUUUACUAGUCUCUAAGUAUUUGCAUACAAACCAUCUUACCAGGUCGUUAUUGCAUUUUUCAAGGUCUAAAACCUUGAUGGCAACAACUUCGUUGUGUGGAAUACAGAGUGCCCUGUAGACUGUGGCACUGACACCGUCCCCAAUUUCUUCACACAACUUGUAAUCCUUGGGAUCAACUGGAAAUUUCUUCUCUGAGAUAUGCUCCAUGAUAAUUUCCUAUAGCACUCUAUUAAAUGCGACUUGCUACUAGAACGUCCAGGAUACUCAAAUGAGCUGAUCAUUCAAAGAAAUGCCAACUAAACCAAUCUGCAUCGUAACUUGAAAACAGCAGGCAGACAGAUCAAUCUAUUUUUUCAUGAAGACACUGGAAAGUGGAAGAGCUUCCCUAAAAACGAAUUAGAUAAUAUUCUUAAAAAUGGAAUGACAAACACAGAUGACAAAUGAUACUGGCAAAAAUAUUAUUCGAAGCACAUAGCUAAAAAAAGAGAGAUUUCAAAAGCUUUUCGGAUAUGUCAUGCAAUAGAGGUAAAAGACGAAUGCAUAGAAUGUAAUGUGCCAUUUACUUCUGUCUAGUUUCCGCAUCUUCAUAAAUAACUGGUGACGACAUAAUGUCAAUAUAUCCAUACAGAGUGUAUCAGAAUAAAAAAGGUCAAACUAGAUUGAUAUUUCUGAACAAAAAAAACUAAAUAAAAAAAUUAGCAAUGUCACAGAUAAUUCUUCAACGUGGCCUAAGUAAGAUGAGCAUUAACAAGGCUUCUUUACCAGUACUCCCAGACUGUAAAAUGUACAACUAUCCAUAUCUUUUUAUAAUCAUGGUUUACUCACAUCAAUCGGGGAUAUGAUAUAUGAAUUUCUUCAUUAUUUUUUCCAGUGGAUUCACAAAAUUAGCGCACACUAAGCUUUGAACGGAAACUACCAUCACACUCUGCCCACAAAAAAAUGCAGUAAAGGAGCUUUAAGUUCAAUUAUCCUCACAAUUUGCUCCAUAUUUAUUUAAAGUCAUAGAUGGAGAAUAAACACCGAGCCUCUUAACAGUCUUUGUCCUUGAAUUGCACACAAUCGUUCCUCUCAUCUCAGGCGGCAAAAAAAACAGAUCAUCCCCUAAAGUUUAAAAAACCAUGCGUUCACCACAAAUAUACCAAUUAAAAUGCCAUUCAAAUUGUCCCUCAUUAAUUCACUAGACAAAUAUCAUGUCACUGACUCAUGGUUCUAGGAAAAUAUGUCAGCAAAACGAUUUUUGUUUCCCGCCAUACAUCAUCCAGCGAAUAAAAGACUCUUUUACCUUCCUAAAUAAGAGCGCCAAACAAUCAGAAUUAAGGAGUUGCAUAUUGUAUCCUUCACAUUAAGCCUUUAGAUUCAAUAGGGCAUGGGAUGUCUCAUAAGUCGGCUGGUCUCAUUCCAUACCAUCAGCACAAUCUCGGAAGUAGAGAGGAGAGAAUGGCAUUAUUCUCCCAUGUAUAUUGUCAUCUGAUUUCCAUCUCCCCCUCCAGGCUUGUGGCAUCUAACAACAUUAACAUUGUAGACUGACUGAUGAAGCCAUCCAACAUUGUCAACAGGUUUUCUAACACAAAUGAAUUCAUCUUAACUCGAAGCCCACCCCCACCCCCUCUCCCGAGGAAAACAAGCCAUCAAACCCAAAGGUUCUACCUGAGAAGAGGAUCCAAACUUGCCACCCCAAAUGUUCCCCUGAACUAAGUUAUCUCACACAGAAUGUUCCACCUCAACAAAGGGACUCACUCCUCUCUUUGAGGUAUGUCAUAAAUAUUUCAUCAUCAUAAGUAUGUUUGCCAAGUAAUCAUUAGAAAAAAAUAAAUUAAGGCUUUGAAAUUUAUUCUACUGGUAAUUCAAUAGUUGUCAGAAACACAGACUGAGUCUACAAAGCAAAUCCACAGAAAGCCAAAUUAUUGUCGAUAUCAUGGGUAGUUUGUUAGUCAUGUGUGACGGAAUCUCACAUUGUUGUUCUACGUAGUACAUUCAUAAUGACUUAAACCACUAUCCUGCAGCCUCUCACCCAAGCUUCAAAUGCAAGUUGACAAAAAGUGCGAAAUUUUGACCACCUAAUCCAAAAUAUCCAAUCUUCCUGCACGUUGGUAAUUGGUAACAGCCGUUUUUUCUGUACUCUGUAGCUGUCAUCCCGUAGGAAGAAGCACUUACCACCUUCCAUUCCGGUCUUUGAGAUCCAGAAUAAAAGAAACCAAAUUAGUAGAGUAGAAAAGACUGCCUUAUAGAGGAUACACCACACAAAUAAUUAACUUGACUUUACAAUAAUUCCCAUCGAUGUGGACAACAACAUUUGCCUUAUCAAAUAAAAAGUAAAAUAUCGCUAUUAAUAUGGAGAACUGUGUAAAUUAUUAGUUUUCAUCCUCACCCACACACCCAAAAUGGACUAUUGUUAUUGAUUUACCCUGUGAAAAUCCCGAUGAACGACAGUGGAAUACUUCCUCGAGUAUAGUUUAUAGAAACUACGCAUUUUCUGUGCCAUCCCAGCUAGUAGUCGCUCUCCUGGAACCAACAAAGCAUUAUGGGAUUUAGUUACCGAAUUGUAGCUGACAAGCGCAAUUUUUUCACAGUCAACGCAAAGAAGUGUGAGUCACUCCGUUUUAUGAGGAAAAGGCCGAUGCUGGUAAACUGAGAACUUCUUAGAUGAAUAAUUCUUCUACACGUAUUCGUCGUUUGAAUUCCCUAUCCACCAGCUCGAGCUGGCGCUUAACCAAGAUCAAUCGUUGUGGGAGGGCAGUGCCCAUUUGAACAAAAACACAGAUAAUCUGAGCAAGCUGUAAUUUACUUUCGAGUGUUUUCUCAUUACUCCAAACGAAUUCCCCCCACUCCUCGGCAUAUAAUUCAAGUAAAACAUAAUAACGACGGAGCUUCAAGCUCGUCGGCAUCUUACCAACUGAAACGUCGACAAAGCGUCCCAUCUCGCGCAAAAGCCGACGCCCCACAGCACAGUGCAUUCGGACGACGGAGAAUUCCAAAUGAUAGAAACACGAUACCACGAGUAGAAAUAAAACAGGACGCGCCGAGCUCGAUCGGGUUGAACAGCCGGACAGAGUCACCAAGGACGGAGUUUCGCGACCGCACCGUGCCCCAGCCCUUCUUCGGAUUCUCGUGGGUGUUCGCCGAUGAGAGCGAGCUUUCGAUAUCUGCCAAUUUCUACUCCCGCCUCUCUCUGUGACACCAACCCCCACUGCCACCCCUACCAGCUCAUCCUAGCAUGGCUCUCUCUUUCCCGCCAUCGUCAUCUCCAUGGCAGCAGACCAGAGCAGCCAUAAUACAAACUGCGUUGCGUGCAAGACGACAAAUUGCGUCGCACCAAUUACAUUUUUUAAAUUUUUUGAUAAAAAUAUUUUCAUACUUGGGUAUAUUUUAAUUCGUGUACGUAGGCCAUUUUCAGUGCGUUACACCGAAUCGCCCUGUCUGUUGCGUCCACGGAUCAAUAUGACGUCAUAUCUGGUCCUUUCAUCUGACGUCAUUCCCCACUUGAGAGCCGCCACCCCCUUCCAGCCGCCUAGUCACCUGGUUUCAAAAUCGGCCGCGAACCCCACCCUUCUCCCUUUUGUCUUAUCGCGCUCUUGGGCCCCAUGGUCGGCGGGGGUUCGUGGCAGCCUCACCUUCCACCGGGUGGCCUCCACUCAGAGAAUCCGUCAAUUGGGAGUAAAGAACUUAAUAUGUUUUUAAUUUAUAUAUCCACCAAACCUCUUAUAUUCCAAGUUACUCCCUCUGGAUUUCUUGAAUAAAGGGCAUAUGCAUAGUUUCAAUGGUUUUUAGGUAUAUACUUAAAUAUGUUUAUAUUCAUUGAUAAGAUAUGUAUGCUGGUGUAGGGAUAUAUAUCUUCAUGAUAUUCUCCUACUUGUGACCCAUGUUGCUAAUAAUUUACAAUUUUCUUGUGCAAGAGUCUAAGGAGAGUCUAUUGGGACCCCAAUGGGCCUAACUUAUUAUAAGGGGGCCCGAAAGGGGCCCAAUAUCUCCCCUUGAAAGGACAAAAUAGUCCCUUCAGUUGAGGACUUAGGGAAGUGCAUAUAGUUCUAUUAUCUACAAGAUGAAAAUCUAUAUUAUGAUUGCUCAGUGGGGGAAGAGUUGGUUUAGGGCAGUUGUGACUAAGGUAGAGUAAGGGGCUACUCAAAUGUUCUCACUAACUAUAUAGUUUUUUAAAACUCAAGCUACAUUUCCUAUUAUGUUAUUUUUAUUUUUUGUGUCUAUCUUUUUUUUUGUCAUGAUAUUGUCUACCAAAAUCUAUAAUUUAAUUGAUUGAUAUUAUAGCCAAGAUUUUGAGAAGCAAGAUUACACUUGAAUUUGAAUACUUUAAGUUGAAAACAUCAAAAAAGUUAAUAUAAUAGUUCUGUAUUAGAGCCAUAGAGGCAUAUUUUGAUGAUGAAAAAAUGAUUUAAGAUCAAAUAAAAAUAAUGAAAUGAACUAAUUAUGCCUCAAUAAUAUAUACACCUCAUUAAUAUAUAAAUAUCUAUAAAUAUAUGCAUUAUUCAAGUCAUUAUAUUAAAGAUACAUAUAAGAACUUAAUUGAAUGUAUGGCAAUCUCAUAUACGUAUCAAUAUAGUUGUAUCGCAAUAUUAUGAGAGUUUGUCAUCUUGUAUGUUAGUGUGCAGAUCAUCAUCAUUUAUAGAAAUCAUUAUAGCUGAAAUAAUAAUGAUUUGACCAUGUAAAUUGACAAUUUUUUAUGAAGUCAAAUAUGAGUAUGAAAGUUUACUCAAUUACUUAUAGUUUCAUGAUUUACUUUAGUAUGAUUUAAUGAAAUCAAUAUUGAUUAAAUCAAAUGACCUAUUGAGUACUAUUUUUUAUCGAACAAUAUUUUUUAAGUAUCAUUAAUCAUAUGUUCAAAAUCAUACAUAAAAUCAUCUCACUCUAAAAAUUUAAUGAAGAGACAAUUGAUUAUGGAGAUAAUGUGAUGCUCUUAGUUAUGGGGAGCUCUAUAUUUGAUGGUCUCUAAAUUGGAUAAUGUAACAUGAUUUCAAGUUUGGGAGGCUCCACGCUUGCAAUCAUUUAAGGCUCAAUAAAUUCAUGCUGAUUCUGCAGCCCUAAUAAGAAUGUGUAUCAAUGGACACAAAUAAGUUUUGUCUAAGACAUCAAUCUCCAAACACAUAUGUGCCCUCAAAUGAUCAUUGUCUUGGUAAUGAAGAAGAAACUAAAAAAGUGGGUCAUCAAACUAAACCCCAAGGUUGAUGUCUUGUGCCCACAUAAAAAACUAAACUCAAAGGUUGGGUCAACACAUCUCUAAACACAUUUGUGCCCACAUAAAUAGUCAUCUUUUUCUUCGUCAUCAACCUCAUAAACAUUUUUAAAUCUCAUUUCCCAUCUUCUUCGUCUCCAAAUUUUCUCUUCAAAUGGAAAAAGAUGGAGAGGAGUGACCGUUUCAUGAGGGCACAUGUUUUUUUAUAAGCCAAUGAAUACUUUGUUGUUGACCAAACAUACACAUUAAGAUUGUAUCCCUUGACAUUUAGGUUUGAGUAGACUUUGAGUAAACAUCAAUUAAAAAAGUGAUUAUGUGUGCAUAAAUAGUUGUGUCACUGUAGACUAGUGACCGAGGAUGAAUGGUGGUCAUUGAAGAGAGUAGGUGGCUUAACUUUUAUGUAGAAGAUAACAAAAUUCAGCCUUAAAUACACAAAACAUGAUUUUUGGUAAAGAAAUCUACAUAGCCACUAGCUUCAACCCUUGCAUCCACAAGGAUUCUAUGCGAUUAUCUUGAAUCCAUAAGAUCCAAAGAUUCUUUUGAAUUUACAAAGAACAAUUGAAUUUAUAAGUAAAUAGGUGAUAACCUCAUAAGAAGGAAAACUUAAUACUUAAAAGAUAUAUUUUGGUUAUAAUGUGAGGGUCUUUAUAUAGGCCUAUAGAGUAGGUGUGAUGUUUUUCAGAAACACAUAUUUUGAAAUAGAAAAACAUAAUCUGAAACAAAAUAUAAAUACAUUUUCUAAUAACAGAAACUAAAAAGGAACAGAAAACAAACUCUACCUAAUAAAUUGGAUCUAAUUUAGAAUUCUCACCCUUCAAUUGGGCCCAAUAAGAUCUUGGGCCCUCUUUUUUUAUUCUCUUUUUAACAACCUAAUUCCAAAACAUUAUGGGGUACAUCAGUAGGUUUGAUGGGCAAUUAUAAUCUCGCCACAUUAGUUCCCAACCUAUGUUAUUGUGUGAAAUAAUAAUCAUAUUUUUAAAUAAGCGAUAAAACACGUUGUGGAAAAUGUUUUUAAGAGAAUAGGUCUAAUGACAUUAAUUCGCCGUAAAAAAAUAAAAAUUUUCCUCAAUAUAUGGGAUUAUUAGCUAUAAAUACUAAUAAAUAGUGUUUCAUUAUACAAUGAAUGAGUCAUAUCUUGUUGAGGUUGCCGCCGGCGCUCCGGAUAAGCUCCCCAUAAAUCCUCAUAAUCGGAGGUCCGACUCGGACCGUUUCGACCCGGACGAUCUGGCCAUGCUUAUCGCUUCCUUCCGGUCCGGGCUCGGGGGGGAACCCGGGGCGUCGUGGGGGGCCAAAAACAAAGGUGAGAUCUUGGGAAAUCUCCCUCUCACGUCCUCAUCGCCUGGGAAGCCAAAAGUCCGCCCUUUUUCUAGUCUUCACUUUUCCGUUCGCCGCCUCCGCAGGGGGCGAAGGGCGGGGCCCGAGUUCUCUCUCGCGCGCUCGCACAUUGUCUAUCCUUUUCGAUCUCGUUCCGGGUCUCGAAGAAGCUAGGGCUCCACCCAUGGAAGCUAUCGGGGCGGCGAUCCUUCCUUCUACGUCGGGGGAGGUCUCUCCCGCCGUCCGCCCGUCGCCGGGGCCGCCGGGGCCGCCGGUGCCGAAAGCGUCGCGUCUCUGGUGUAGAUACUCCAGGGGAGUCGGAAAUUUUGAGGUGCUGCGGCUGAGCGCGCAGAGGUGUGGGUGCAGAGUCCGAUCUCUCGAUAGGGAAGUAUCCGGCGGGAGCGCGGAGGAGGGAGCGUUGGCGAUCGGGAAAAGCUCCGUCGGAGGCGAUGGAACGGCUUCUCCUAUCGAGGUCUGCGGAUAUUUAUGCUUAUCUCGACCCCCAUCAUGAACUUUCGUGUGCAUUAAUUUACGGUGAUCUUCGGGGCAGAGGUUGACGAUUUUGCGGUCGUUUUUUUGGUCGACGUCGUUUAUUUGAGAGCGUGACGUCCCUGAAGUUUCUCCCUGGUUUCAUAUUUCUCCAUGUUACCACGUUCGUCAACAGUGCUUUCAAAGCUCUGAAUUCGGCAGCUGAGGAAUGGUUUUAUACGUUCCCACAUCUGUUUUUUUUUUACACACAAGAAGCGCCUCGAUAACCACGUGUUCAUAUUCUGACUGAAGAUUGACGCGUUCUUCCUCUAUUAUGGGGUCAAUGCAAAUGCAAAAAACGUGAUCCGAUGAAAGAAAUCUUUAUCCACGUGAAUCAUUUAUUUUCCUGCCUUCUAUAUGUUGACCAUUUUUUAAUCGUUAAUCAAGUCAAAGAUCAGUUUAUGGAUGAACAAAGAGAGUCAGGACAAUAAUUUUUUUCUAAUGUGUGUUGCGCUGCAGAGCCCAGUAUCAUGUACUAUUAGUGGAACGAUGGCGCUUGCCCUUUCAAUCCUGGCCGUUUUACUGGAGGAUAAGUGCCACAUGUUUAAGGGUGACUGAAAGUGCUGAUAGUGGCGAUAGACGUCAGACUGUGUAUUGAUUAGUAUGUGAAAUAUAAGUCAACUUGGACAACGACUUAGCAAAUUUAUGAUUUACUUUAUUCCUUCGCACAUUGAUUCCGGAUGGCUUUCGCUUAUGGGACAUGCUGCAUUUGGUGUAAGUGAGUUUUGAAAAAAAAAAUCCAAGGUUUUAGGCCUCGUUGUGUAUAUAGGAUUUUUUUGAUGCUCUUCCAGUGUGCAUUGACUUUUUUCAUAUCACGGUAAUCAGCAUGGAUGAUGUUUAUGCACGUUAUAAGUUAGAUGGGAUUGAAGAAGGAAUCAGUUCCCAAAUCUUCAUAGAUCUGCCCAGAAUCACGUAAAUAUUUUUCAAGGGAAAACUGUUUGCUCCAAAUGUGCUUCCCUGUGAUUCUGUCAUCCAGUUUCGAGGGUCAUCAAGGAUUUUAGGCUUUAACGAGAGGAACUGCAGGAACUGUACGAUAUUGUAUAUAUAGAUGAUUCGGCAAUUGGAGGAUAUGAGAUCCUAACUUUCCAACGAAGAAGAACUAGCCUAAAUCACCCGUAAAGGAACAGUGCAGAUGUUACUAAUGCUGCUCAUUUUCUGUCUCCGUUCUUGGCGUAUAAAAAAUUAUUGAUGGUAGUUGCAGAUUUAUCUGUUAAUAUUAAUUUUUCUUUCUCAUUCAAUCUGAAUUUGAAGAACAACUCAAGCCAGAAUGGUAGCCUUGCAAGAGACCCUGAUGAGAAACCAGAGCAAGAAACACCGAAUUUUUCGAUUAGUGGAACUAGUGGCGGGUCCAGAGCUGGGCUUUUCCGAACACCGAUCUCUGGUGGUGUACAAAGUGCAACUUCUGCUCACAGGUUGCCACACCCAGCCUUGGCUGUUCGAAAUCUAAUGGAGCAGGUAGAAUGCCUGGUCAAUGGCGUUUAUAUUUGUCAUUGCAUUCUCCUCUCUUGAUUUCUUUUUUUUUUACUCCAUAUCUGAUAUUCCUAGGCCAGAUUUGCUCACCUGUGCACCACAAUGUCUCGGAUGCAUCACCGGAGAGAGGGAUACCCUUUUGGUUCAUUAGUUGAUUUUGCUACAGACUCUAUGGGCCGUAAGUUGUCUUCGAUUUCAGUUUAAUCUUCUUAUAAACGCAAGAUGUAUUUUUAUUUGAUCAGAGUGCUUUCCCUAUGCAGAUCCAAUCUUUUCUCUCUCGCCAUUGGCUAUCCACACGCGGAACCUGUUGACAGAUCCUAGAUGUACACUUGUUGUGCAGGUGGAUUUUUGAGUAUUUAUUUGCCUUAAUUUUGUUUGAUUCUCAAGUAGAAACUAAAUUCAAUCUGUGUUGAAAUUGUUAAACUGCAGAUACCCGGGUGGAGUGGACUAUCCAAUGCACGUGUGACUAUAUUCGGUGAUGUUUUCCCUCUUUCGGAUGAUGAACAGGCUAGUACCUCACUAUAUAAUUUUUUUUUGAAGAUGAAUUAAAUUAUCAGAUUCGUUUCUUCUCCGAUAUGUUUUGCUCAUCUGUCAUUCUAGGGACGGUUUCUUGGCGUUUUUAUCAAAGAUUUAUUGCUUAAAAGCUUUGGAAAUUAAUUCGGAUGCGAAUUCGGAAGAAAAAUAAAAGAGAUUUGAUUCUUGAAAUCAUUAGGUUCCUUGAUGUUUGAAGAACACCCACCGGCUCUCACAUCGGUGCUUAAGAACAACUGAUCUUUAUAAUGGUUUUCUAAUCUGUUUUGACUCGUCUUGGAUGGUAGCCUUAUGAGAUAUGCCCUUCGACAGUGUUGUCGUUGCCCAAAGUUUCUGGUGCUUAUUUUCUUCUGACCUGUUCUAUCAGGAAUGGGGCCAUAAACAGUACACAGCAAAGCAUCAGCAAUGGGCGUCCCAGCAGUGGGGCAACUUCUAUUAUUAUCGGAUGCAAACUAUCAGGUUCUCAUUUGAUAUUCUUCACAAAGAUCACGAUUUCUUUGUACCCAAAUGUUUCUCGAUUGCUGACUUUUUUUCUCUAUCACAUUUCAUAUGAAAUUGAGUUUUAAAUCUCCAAUUAACUAAAAAUAAAAGGAAUUUUUUUCUGCUUGUUUGCUAUUCCCAGCGACAUCUACUUCAUCGGAGGGUUUGGCACUGUAGCAUGGGUUAAUGUGAAGGAUUACGAAGCAAUUCUGCCAGACAAGAUUGCUGUUGAUGGUGGGGAGCGGAAUCUGAAGGUGGGCUUUCAUGAAUUUUUCCUUGGAGAUUCUGGUUUUCUCGUUCAUUAUUUUCUCAGAGUGAGAGGAGUUCUAAUUUCCCGGGCUGCGUUCUUCCCCUUUGACAAACAGGAACUGAAUGCCAUCUUCUCCAAGCCCCUCAGAAAAGUUCUGUCUCUGGAUGGGGAGAUAGAUGAUGCGGCGCUCAUAUCAAUUGACAGCAAGGGCACCGACAUCCGUGUCCGGCAGGGAGCGCAGGUACCUGAAACUUGCUCAUUUCAUGCCCUUUAAUAGACAGCAAGAAGCCCAUCAUGAUCUAUUGCUUGUGAUUUCUGGAUUCCAAUACAAAAUCUAUGUGAAUCAAGCAAUCCGUCGGGUGAUCUUGCUUUCCUUCAUAAACCCUUGAGAGUGAGAGAGAGAGAGAGAGAGAGAGCAUCAUUAGAGUUGUGCUUGGCAGCACUGUUCUUCAAAAUUCAGAUAUGUUGAGUAUUUUUUAGCUGAUAAUUUUGCAUAUAAUUUUGCAUCUUCGUCGGAUCACACCAUUUGCAUCCACAUGCUCUCAUGUUCAUAGCUGAUUGAUCAUAUAUGCUCGAUCAUCUUGUUAAUCUUAUGAUCUUGGGGCCCCUCCGCGGGCGCCGGUCUGUUGUCAUGCAGUUCAACGUUCAGAGGAUAUCUUUUGAGGAAGAUCAUGAAGUGGAGACGGUUGACGAAGCCAAAGCGGCGCUUCAGAAGAUAAUCAACCGGUGUUACAGGUCGAAGACGCACAAGAGGAGCUGAGCCCUGUUCUGCUUGUUGACGGCCCCACCCUCCUCCUCCCCUGCUCGAGAGCAAGAGCGAGCGAGAGAGAGAGAGAGAGAGAGAGAGAGAGAGAGAGAGAGAGAGAGAGAGAAGAGAGAGAGAGAGNNNNNNNNNNNNNNNNNNNNAGAGAGAGAGAGAAAGAGAGAGAGGAACAGUGAGUGAAUAAGAUACGCGGGUUCCUUCUGGUGUAAUUUCUGCACUGGUUUUCAUGGUUUGAGGUGAAACCUUGCUCGGGCUUUUAUCUGGGUUCGGAUCGGAUCAAAGCCAUGGAUGCGACCUCGGCACUCCUGAUGAAUGAGCUGGUCGAAGGUGUUCGCUUUGUGACUCCUCCAGUUGACCUCCCGUGGAACUUAGUGGGCACCGACGGUGUUGAAUUGUAUAAUAAUUCAGGCAAUUUAUGUGGACUUGGGAGCUCCUUCGAAUAAAGCAUCUUUUCUUGGAACAAGAUGCGAGGAGAUACCCUCUUCGAAUAAAUUAAUCAACUUGGGUCUUGCUUCUUUUUUUUUCUUGCUACAAAAUCGUCAACUUGGGUUUCUUUGUACGUGGGGUUUGAGGCGUGCGAUGCGUUUUAAUUGUGAAAGAUCUUGACAAGAAUUGGUAGUGAGAGAGAGA